CCAGUGGCUUGCUGGCCUUGACAGGCUGUGCUGAGCUGUUACUUGAUGCCUGGACUAGAACUGGUCACAGUGCUCCAGGUGGAACCAGGAAAGAAGUAAUGCGUGAGUCUGAUGUGCGGCUGGAGGAUAAAUCCAAGGCAUUUCAGUAUGAUGUCAUGGAGAUUUCAUCUCUCAGCAUCAAAGUUGCCUCUCCUGGCUUUUGAACUUUAAGUGUUCGGUGUGGAAGAAAAAUGGAGACAAUGAAUUUCCACGCAUGGAUUCAAAGAAUCCUUGUAGUAUACAGACUGCAUUCCCCCAACUUUGUAUCUCUGUGUCUUCUUCUUCUUGAGUUCUCAACCACAUAGCAUUGCAAUUCAUCUUCCCACAUUACAUUUUUCAUCAAUAUUUGGAGGCCUAUUUAUGCAAAUACCAGGAAUUAUCAGAACUCCCUGCAACAGGAAACCUGACCCCCAACUCCCCCAAAUGCAUCGUGAUAUAGAGUCACUUGCCAAAAUAACAAAUCAACUUCCUGGAACACACUUGCUCAAAACCAGGAGACGUCAGCUUGACUUCUGCCUCGUACGCAGGAAGGCUGACCUUCAAAGAUCAAACGUCGGCCCAAAUCUCCCUUCAUCUCGUAAUGUUCCUGCUUGUCACAGCUCCUGUUAUCAUCAGGCCCCGGGCCAACCAUCCGUCAUGUCAGAAGAGAGUUAGGUACAAACCCUGGAUUAUUUUGAAAUAUUCUAGUUUGGAUAUAAUGAAUAUAUUUUAAAUAAUUUUGUUAACUUUAUUUUGUUCACCUUGAGUUAUGUAGGGCAUUUUGUUUUGAAAGUUUGUGGUCUGAGACAUUUGGUAUUUUUGUAAUUAAUUUUUUGAAAAAUAGGGCCAACCAGAUCCGUACAUCCUGUAUUUGUAACUGUGUAAUUAUUUAAUCUUGUUACUCCAUAUCCUGACUCAAAAAACAAUUUUAAGUAAAAUUUUUUGUUAGGCUCC